rnacentral:rRNA from 1 species
UACGAAGGGGGCUAGCGUUGUUCGGAAUUACUGGGCGUAAAGCGUGCGCAGGCGGUUUUGUAAGUUUGUCGUGAAAGCCCCGGGCUCAACCUGGGAAUUGCGAUGAAGACUGCAAGGCUUGAAUCUGGCAGAGGGGGGUAGAAUUCCACGUGUAGCAGUGAAAUGCGUAGAGAUGUGGAGGAACACCGAUGGCGAAGGCAGCCCCCUGGGUCAAGAUUGACGCUCAUGCACGAAAGCGUGGGGAGCAAACAGG